rnacentral:rRNA from 1 species
AGAUUGAACGCUGGCGGCAGGCUUAACACAUGCAAGUCGAGCGGUAACAGGAGAAGCUUGCUUCUCGCUGACGAGCGGCGGACGGGUGAGUAAUACUUAGGAAUCUGCCCAGUAGUGGGGGAUAGCACGGGGAAACUCGUAUUAAUACCGCAUACACCCUACGGGGAAAAGGGGGCGCUUGCGCUCUCGCUAUUGGAUGAGCCUAAGUCGGAUUAGCUAGUUGGUGGGGUAAAGGCCUACCAAGGCGACGAUCUGUAGCUGGUCUGAGAGGAUGAUCAGCCACACCGGGACUGAGACACGGCCCGGACUCCUACGGGAGGCAGCAGUGGGGAAUAUUGGACAAUGGGGGCAACCCUGAUCCAGCCAUGCCGCGUGUGUGAAGAAGGCCUUUUGGUUGUAAAGCACUUUAAGCAGUGAAGAAGACUCUAUGGUUAAUACCCAUAGACGAUGACAUUAGCUGCAGAAUAAGCACCGGCUAACUCU